ensembl:snRNA U6 U6 spliceosomal RNA
GUGCUUGCUUCAGCAGCACAUAUACUAGAAUUGGAACGAUACAGAGAAGAUUAGUAUGGCCCCUGCACAAGGAUGACAUGCAAAUUUAUGAAGCGUUCCAUAUUUUU